rnacentral:rRNA from 1 species
CGCCUUGCCAGCCCGCUCAGAACUUAAAGGAAUUGACGGGGCCCGCACAAGCGGUGGAGCAUGUGGUUAAUUCGAUGAUACGCGAGGAACCUUACCUGGGCUCAAAUGUAUGUUGACGUAUUCUGAAAGGGAUACUUCUUCGGACAAUAUACAAGGUGCUGCAUGGUUGUCGUCAGCUCGUGCCGUGAGGUGUCGGGUUAAGUCCCAUAACGAGCGCAACCCCUAUCAUUAGUUGCCAUCAGGUCAAGCUGGGGACUCUAAUGAAACUGCCUACGCAAGUAGUGAGGAAGGUGGGGAUGACGUCAAAUCAGUACGGCCCUUACGUCCAGGGCUACACACGUGCUACAAUGGCCGGUACAAAGGGCAGCUACCUGGUGACAGGAUGCAAAUCUCCAAAGUCGGUCUCAGUUCGGAUCGGAGUCUGCAACCCGACUCCGUGAAGUUGGAUUCGCUAGUAAUCGCGCAUCAGCCAUGGCGCGGUGAAUACGUUCCCGGGCCUU